GACGAACGCUGGCGGCGUGCCUAAUACAUGCAAGUAGAACGCACAGUUUAUACCGUAGCUUGCUACACCAUAGACUGUGAGUUGCGAACGGGUGAGUAACGCGUAGGUAACCUGCCUGGUAGCGGGGGAUAACUAUUGGAAACGAUAGCUAAUACCGCAUAAUAUUAAUUAUUGCAUGAUAAUUAAUUGAAAGUUGCAAUUGCACCACUACCAUAUGGACCUGCGUUGUAUUAGCUAGUAGGUGAGGUAACGGCUCACCUAGGCGACGAUACAUAGCCGACCUGAGAGGGUGAUCGGCCACACUGGGACUGAGACACGGCCCAGACUCCUACGGGAGGCAGCAGUAGGGAAUCUUCGGCAAUGGACGAAAGUCUGACCGAGCAACGCCGCGUGAGUGAAGAAGGUUUUCGGAUCGUAAAGCUCUGUUGUAAGAGAAGAACGGGUGUGAGAGUGGAAAGUUCACACUGUGACGGUAUCUUACCAGAAAGGGACGGCUAACUACGU
rnacentral:rRNA from 1 species